UGUUCUCAGAAAGUACACCAUUUUAAAAUAACAUGGCUACAAUUGGCAGCUACUUGGUGGGUGGAAGCAUCAAAGAAUGUCGUCUGUUUUUAAGGGUGGCAAAGGCGUCUAUCACUCUAUUGUGAUUUAGGUGCUGAAGCUCCUCUUUUUCAAUUGACAUGACUGCAAGACUGUGAAUGCCAUGACUUUCACUCACAACACAAUAAUUGUUUACUCCCAAAUAUUUUGAAGUCACACAGAAUAUAUUUUGGGCACAUAUGUGACUAAAAUGGUUGUAAUUUUAAGCCCUGAAAAAAUAUAACUUAAUUACAUAAAUUACAGUUAUAUUAAGGUACUCUUGAAAAUAUUUGGGCCAGGCUAAUUUGGCUUAUACAUCACUCUCUUGUAGGGAUGCACGAUAUAUCGGCAUUAAUAUUGGUAUCGGCCGAUGUUCGUCAUUUUUUAACAUAUCGGCAUCGGUCCAAUGAGUAAAACUGCGCCGAUUUUAACAACCGAUGUUAAUACCCGUCUAUUUGCUGUUUGUGUAUGUGUGUCGGGAAGGGGAGGCCAUGCUGCAUUUCUUUGAACAUGUUACAGUGACGCAAGUGCAGCACAAGGUGUGUGUGUGUGUGUGUGUGUGUGUUGAGGAGAGAUAAUGUCAGCGGUGUGGGCGUUUUUUCAGGGUGUCGAUAGAAGAUACGCGAAAAGCAUUAUGCAACACUUGCAAAGUUGAGAUAGGCCUGCAGUCAUAGGCCUAAUGACGCCACUGACUCUCCUAAAUAAAAGCUCAAGUUAAAUAAG